rnacentral:rRNA from 1 species
CCUACGGGAGGCAGCAGUGGGGAAUUUUCCGCAAUGGGCGAAAGCCUGACGGAGCAAUACCGCGUGAGGGAGGAAGGCUCUUGGGUUGUAAACCUCUUUUCUCAGGGAAGAAACCUGACGGUACCUGAGGAAUCAGCAUCGGCUAACUCCGUGCCAGCAGCCGCGGUAAUACGGAGGAUGCAAGCGUUAUCCGGAAUGAUUGGGCGUAAAGCGUCCGUAGGUGGCAACUCAAGUCUGCUGUCAAAGACUGGGGCUUAACCCUGGAAAGGCGGUGGAAACUGAAUAGCUAGAGAGCGGUAGGGGUAGAGGGAAUUCCCAGUGUAGCGGUGAAAUGCGUAGAGAUUGGGAAGAACACCAGUGGCGAAAGCGCUCUACUGGACCGCAACUGACACUCAUGGACGAAAGCUAGGGGAGCGAAUGGGAUUAGAUACCCUUGUAGU